rnacentral:lncRNA from 1 species
AAAUCUUAAAUCUCUCCUUAUUUAUAAAACCACACACACAGACCAAAUUCUUUCUUGGCACAUGACUUCUUUCUCAAGUGGUCAUCCAACCCAACAUCAUCACCCUCGGGCAUUAGUGGCACUCAAUGAGUUUUCAGAAAAAUCGUUGUGAUCACCUUUGUGUUACCACCACCAUACAUAUGCUCAUCCAAUGCGUAGCACUACUAACUACUUG